UACAGAGGGGGCAAGCGUUAUUCGGAAUUAUUGGGCGUAAAGGGCGCGUAGGCGGCAUCGCAAGUGGAAGGUGAAAUCCCUCGGCUUAACCGAGGAACUGCCCUCCAAACUGCUGUGCUUGAGUGUGGGAGAGGCGCGUGGAAUUGCAGGUGUAGCGGUGAAAUGCGUAGAUAUCUGCAGGAACACCCGUGGCGAAAGCGGCGCGCUGGACCACUACUGACGCUGAGGAACGAAAGCUAGGGGGAGCAAACAGG
rnacentral:rRNA from 1 species